CACGUAGGGUGCGAGCGUUGUCCGGAAUUAUUGGGCGUAAAGAGCUCGUAGGCGGUGUGUCGCGUCGGCCGUUAAAACCUGCAGCUUAACUGUGGGCUUGCGGUCGAUACGGGCAUCACUGGAGUUCGGCAGGGGAGACUGGAAUUCCUGGUGUAGCGGUGAAAUGCGCAGAUAUCAGGAGGAACACCGGUGGCGAAGGCGGGUCUCUGGGCCGAUACUGACGCUGAGGAGCGAAAGCGUGGGGAGCGAACAGG
rnacentral:rRNA from 1 species